CACACAUACUCAUUGACUGGUCACCAAAAACACCGCUGCUCACGCACACACGCACAACAGGGACGCGAGUUGGAAGGAAAACAAUAAAACAAAAAAACGUGACCGCAAGCUGAAUUUCAAAAUAUACUAGUGAAAAUUAUUAUGUGACCGCAAGUUGUAUUUACAAAUAUACCAAUUAUAUUAAAGGUCUAUAAAUGGGUUAUCUAUAGUUCAUCAGACUUGUGAAGGAUCAAAGGAUGAAGGACAUUGGUUUGGCACCGUUUGUAAUCAGAAUUCUAAUAACGGAAUGUGGUAUUAUGAGCAGAGAAAUGGAACCUGCCAGGAAAUGGUUUAUUUUGGAUGUGGAGGCAAUAUGAAUAGAUAUUGCAAUUUGAACGAUUGCCAACGAAAGUGCGAGAGGAGAGAUUGACUCUGAGUGCAAAUAACUAAUUUUAAUAUUUCAUUACUUUAAUAUAUAA